rnacentral:tmRNA from 1 species
GGGGGUGAAUAGGUUUCGAUUUAGGUAAACAAGAUAAGUGUGGCAUGCCGAGGUUGCAAGGAGGCCUCGUUAAUCACCUUGCACAAUACAAACGCAAACUACGAUGUAGUUGCAGAAGCCGAGAGCAUCUUGGCUUUAGAAGAAGCCCUCGUCUAAAUAAUUAGAUGAGGCCUCCUUUUAGUCUGCCUGGAGGCUAAAAGGUGCGGUAAGACAGGAUAGUUAAGUCCUGUUAGUCUUUGAGGAUUUGAUGAAAAUAUAAAAGGCUGCCCCUUUUUCCAAUCCUGUUUAUCGGAGUGGGCAAGGGUAAGAUUAAAAGAUAAACUAAGUAUGUAGAGGCGCUUGUUGAGUUACUUAAGGACGCGGGUUCGAUUCCCGCCACCUCCACUA